rnacentral:lncRNA from 1 species
AUGGCACCGGGGCUCCUGGCCGGCUCUGUGUGUGCGUGCAAGAGUUUGCAAACCCUCGGGGGCUCCCUUCUCUCCCCGUCUCUCUGUCUGCUUGCAGUCUCCUCCAUAAAACAUCGGAAGUUGGAGCCAUUCAUUUGGCUAUUUGUGGCUCGCUCCCCACGCCCCGGCUCCCUCCCCUGCCCCCUGCAGCCUCUCCGGCUCGCUGCUCGCCCAGCAUCCUUGACCCCGAGGAGUCUGGUGUGUAUGCACUUCCCUUUUGGCCCACGGAAAGCACCACUCCGAGCGGGUGCCUUGAUAAAUCCGCUGUGGGAAGGCAGGGGCUCCUGGGCUCUCACACAGGGCUUUCCCAUGGCGCGUUUCCUAUAUUGUCCCCGCUCGCAGCUCCAGACCGGGGCGGUGGGGAAGCUCUCCGGGUGGCGGUGCCCCUCCACGGCACCAGGUCUGGCCCUCCUCGGGCUCUCGUGGCUCGCUCUGCACCAAAAAAACGUGGUGCGUGGAGGAAGGCCUUCUCCCGAGGAGGAGGAGAAGGGUUGGAUUCGCAUCACCGAGCUGGUGGGUGACGGUGGCAUCCCUCGGCUCACCCACGGCUUUGACCCCACGGCCCCUUCAUCACCCCGCUUUGCAAACGGGGCUCUGGGGUUGCCUCCGCAGAAUUUGGGGUGGGACUGGGACCACCGAGGGGCUGGAGAAAGGGACGGGCUGGCAGAGAGGAAGGACAGCUCGGUGGAUUUGAAGCUGAGCGAGGAGGUCCAGGGUGGCACAGAGGGAAAUAGCAGAAAUAGCUCCGAAAUGGCUUCUCCUGAGCUGCCCUGCCAAAGUGUAACAUCCUCAGGGUUUUGGCCCUGGGUUGGGGACCACCACCAUGGGGACACGGGGACGGUGCCUGCACAGGGCUGCACGGCCACAAACCUCCCAGCAGCAGCAGCAGGAGGCAGAGAUGCAACCCCGGCAGCGUUUGGCCUCCUCCAGUCACACCAGGAGCAAAAUCCCCUUUUGGCAUGGCAGGUUCCCCCCACGGAGACCUGA